CUGGGCGAUCGAACAGAGGGCAGGGACAAGGUGAAAACCCUAGUUUUACCAAUUCCACCAAAUUGAGUAGAGAUUUCAAGGAUAAUCAGUUGCAUGACCCUAAUUUUCGAUCAUCUAAACAUACUCAGUAAAGUGGCGUGAAGGAAGAAGGUUCAAGUGCUAGGAAAACGGAAGACGCACAAAAUCAAUGUAAAUCCUCAACUUAAAUGGCUUGGCGACUUGGAACGAACACACGCAUGAAUCACGCCCAUUAUGCGCUUCCGCUACUUUUGUAUUGACGUUUAUGGGUCAAAAUACUUUGUUGUAAAUAACUUUUGUUAGUAGCUAGACUUUUAAAACGUAAUGUUAUGAUCUUUGUUAUGUCUUUUGAACGUGUCGUAGAAUUAGUUGAAAUGAUGAUUGUUAAAACAGGGAUCCGCUUGUUGUACGGACGA